UACGUAGGUGACAAGCGUUGUCCGGAUUUACUGGGCGUAAAGAGCGCGCAGGCGGUCGUUCAAGUCGAGUGUGAAAGCCCCCGGCGUCAACUGGGAAGGGUCGGAGCUCUACUGAUCGAUCGAAGGCAGGAGAGGGUAGUGGAAUCCCGGUGUAGUGGUGAAAUGCGUAGAUAAUCGGGAAGAACACCAGUGGCGAACGGCGGCAUCACUGGACGUGGUAGUGACGCUGAGUGGCGUAA
rnacentral:rRNA from 1 species